UUCCUUUCUUUCCCUAAAAGAUACCACUAAAAAAUGGUAAGACGUCUCACCAAGUGGAAGGUGGUAUUCAUAAAACAUAUAUCCAACAAGAGACCUGUUUCCAGAAUACACAUAUUGGUAAGAAUCCUGCAAAUCAAUACGAAAGGCACAAAGUGAAAGAAAGGUGGGUAGUAAGGGUCUUGAAUAGGAUAUGAAAAGGAUAUAUCCGAAUGGCCAGUAUGUACUGGAAAAGGUAUCCGGCUUCAUUUAUCACCAAGGAAGUGGAAAUUGAGUAGGCGCCAUGCCUGCCCGAUGUGGGGCUUGAACUCAUGACCCUGAGAUCAAGAGCCACAUGCUUUACUGACUGAGCCAGCCAGGAACCCCUAGGAAGUGGAAAUUAAAGCCUUAAUUUCGUGCCACUCCAUACCUACCGUGAGGUUAAAAAAAAGCUAGCAGCACGUGUCGGUACAGUCGCGAGGGAGCAGGACUCCGACACACUGCGUCGGGAGUGUGUAUGUUGGUGCAGCUGCUGUGGGAAACUGCGGUACCCGCUAAUGCUGGGGGUCUGCGUGCUGGGGGCGGCCUCUGUCCAUGCGACAGCCCCCCACCCCCACCCCAGGCUGCGGUAAGCUGUGAUAAGUGGCUCCAAACUGAAACUACCCAGAUGCUGGUCUGCAGUGAAAGGGGUACAUUGUGGGAUCUUCAUGCAGGGGAUCUUACGGCAGCGACGACGAACACAGUACGAGUCCCAUGAACAUAGCCGGUAAGGAAGUGACUCUUUCGCAUGAGCCAUCUAGGAAGGACUCAGCGCACAGUUCACGCACAUCAAGUCCCAGAACGGGGAAGGCCAGUCGACGUGCUCAGGAGCAGGAACCUGCGACCUCCAGGGGCGGGAGGGUGGUGGCUGGAGGAGGAGCUUCUGGUUUCCCCAGCUGUAAUGCUUGUAAUGCCCGGAUUGCUGGCGUCUAAGGACCAGGGCCACAUGGUGGCAGAUGCGUGUAUAUAGAAGUUCACCUAGGAAGUUCCCCCCCAACUUACAAAGUGAAUUGCAGAAGGGGUUACUCUUGGGGAAGUGAAGAUGGAUAAGGCAGCUGGGACCCAGGAAGAUGGUCGUCAUCGGAGAACUCGUUUUUUUUUAUUUCUGGAUGGAAGCGGCAAAGAGUGUACCUGUCGAAUGCAGGUGCGGAUACUAUAUAGUUAUUUCACAUAACAAUUGUGAUCGAGGAACAAGAGAAAACCCAUCAGAACAAGCAACCUCUGCCUCUCCCCAGUGCACCCCAUGCUCACACACACGGAUUUGGAGUCAGAGGACCCGUGUCUGAUUCCGUGUUCUAUCCAGCCCGUCCUGGCCAAGAGGUCUUGGGAAAACCACUCAACAGCUGACAAGUGGACAGGAGGAUUAGCUCGGACACCGCAUCAGCUUCACUUUUCAGUUUCUUUUUCUUUCUUUCUUUUCUUUCUUCCUUUCUUUCUUUCAUAGAUUUUAUUUAUUUUUUCAUUAGAGACACAGAGAGAGAGAGAGAGAGGCAGAGACCCAGGCAGAGGGAGAAGCAGGCUCCCUGUGGGGAGCCCAACGCAGGACUCGAUCCCGGGUCCCUGGGGUCACGCCCCGGGCCGAAGGCGGUGCUAAACUGCUGAGCCCCCCUGGCUGCCCCUCGUUUGCCUGCAUACGCAAAAUCUAUCUGGGCUGCCCCACCUUGCUUCCGACCGUGCCCGCAGUGCAGCACGCACUGACCCUCUUGUCGUGGCCGGAAGGUCUCCCUUGUAUCCACGUGUAAGCCACUUCCUUUUUAAGUGCUUAGGUGGGCAAGCUCCCUCCGCCCCCCCAUCCUGCAUGCAGAAGGCAGCCUGGCACCCACAAAUAUACGCGCUCAAAAUUAGUGCUCUUAGUAUCCCUCAUGAUAGCACCACUCACUUUAUCUUGCAAUGCACCAUCGGAGUCAAUUUUCCAAAUAAAUGGCCAAAUUUGUCCCAUGAUCGGAAUCCCUAUGUUCCCAAAGUAAUAGCCAAGGUGAAACCAAGCUCAAUUACAGAAGCAAAUUCCUGAAAGGUGUAGGAACUUCUUCAGAGUUCAUGGAAAGCCUUGCAGGUGUGGUGCCUGCUAAUAAUCAAAUGACCCUUGGCUCCUUCCGCCUUCUAUUUCCAGCUCUCUGACCUAACCAUUAUCUAUAUUUAGGCAUCUAUUUGUAUCACAAAUCCUUAUGAAACUCUGUUUUUUUGAAAUGCAAUGUCAAUGUCAUGUCGAUCUACAUUAAAAAAUCUAGGGCCACCCUCUCUUGACCUACAUUUCAGGAAACGAAAGACAAUGUUGUCAUUCAAAUCUUUGGAAAGACCUUGUAUUUUCUUCCAAAGGAUAAAAUCCACAGACUUAGAAAGUGAAGUGUGGUGGUUAAAAGCAAGAUCCCUGCCUUAGUUUCCUCAUCUGUAACUUGGUUAGGCGUCAUGAAUGAGAUACUGCACAUAGAGGGUGUGGCAAUAAGUAAAUAAUAUUAUUACCAAUAAUACCAUUUUAAAGUAAACUGAACCCCAAACAUGGGGCUUAAAGUCACAACGCCAGGAUCAAGAGUCCCACGCUCUGCGACUGCCCAUAACAACAUCACUAUUUGAAAUUAUGUGUUUAUUUUUAAAUUUUCGGUCUCCUCUUAUAGAAAAUAAGCUCCACGAUAUUGGAAUUUUACCCACUGAGUACACAUAGGCAGCUGCUGAGUGUGUCUGAAAUGGAGCAGCAAGGCAAAAUCUCUUGGGAAGGAUGGGAUUUCUCAAAGAAUUUAGGGUCAAAGGAAAUUCUCCUGAGGAAAUCUAAAACCGACAUUGCCUCAAUUUUCAGCACUUGGGGAAAUUCUGGACUGUCCAGCAGGACAGGUACGUAUAUAAUGACGAUAUGGCUUUACACACUAAGACAGCUGCGGUGUUUUCAUCCAAGUCCAUGGCGACCUUAUUAUCUGAUAGAGCAUCAUUAGGGUUAAACGAGGUAACACAGCGUGAUCCGCUUUAUUCCUCAAAUUUAUUUGGCAAGUCAAGGCUUCUGGAGGUUUUAUCAAAAUGAAUACAGUAUCCACGUUAAGAAACCAGGGGCUACUUUAGGAAUCCAGAGCACGUAAGUACUGUAGUGAAGGUUAGUGGAUAUCAACGUAGAAUUAGAGCUAAGCUUCUUUGUAUUUUAUUUUUCUUUGUAUUUUAUAUUACAGAGUUGAAUUUCUGUUAAGAUCUAUUUACAAGGAAGAGAUUAAGAACUUUCCUGUAAUUCAGACAUUUAAGUAAUCUUGAGGUUAUGAAUAUUUAUGGCACAUUUUAAAAUGUCCACUUAAUUUUUUUAAGAGAAGGAAGGGAAAUAAGUGGUGAGUUUAUUUUUAAUAUUUUUAAAGAUUAAACAAAUUUAUUUAUUCAUGAGACAGAGAGAGGCAGACGUAUAGGGAGAGGGAGGACCAGGUUCCCUCCAGGGAGCCAGAUGCAGGACUUGAACCGUGGACCCUGGGAUUGUUAACCACUGAAAUGCUCAACCACUGAGCCACCCAGGUGCCCCUUAUUUUAUUUUUUAUUUUUAUUUAUUUAUUUAAUAAAUUUAUUUAUUUAUUCAUGAGAGAUAGAGAGAGAGAGAGGGGCAGACUCCAUGCAGGGAGCCCGAUGUGGGACUCGAUCCCAGGACUUCAGGAUCAUGCUGUGGGCCGAAGGCAGGCACCAAACGGCUGAGCCACCCAGGGAUCCCCUAUUUUAUUUUCUAAAAGAGAUUUUAUUUAUUUGAGAGAGAGGGAGAGAGAGCGCUGCAGAACAGGGGGGAGCAGCAGAGGGGCAGGGCUGCAGGUGGGGCUCCACCCCAACCACGCAGAGAUCAGGACUUCAGCUGAAAUCCAGAGGGAGACGCUUAGCUGACUCAGCCACCCAGGUGCCCUGACCAUUUAGUAUUUUAACCUGUGUUAUUCGUAGAGGUUAAAUUUGUUUACCAUUCUUAUAAUUUCAUCACUAUGACGUCACUAACCUGGUGAUCUCCAUCAGCAUAAAAGACUGUUGACUCAAAAUUAGGAGCAUGCUAAUUUAUUUCCUUCUGAAAUAGCUAUUGUGUAGUGGCACAGUUAAGCUGCUCAGAUUUAUUUCAAAACAAGCCACCGGGUUGGCCUGGGGGGCUCGGUUGGUUGCGCGUCUGCCUUCGGCUCAGGGGUGAUCCCGGGGUCCUGGGGUCGAGCCCCGUGUCAGGCUUCCUGCUCUGCAGGGCAUCUGCUUCUCCCUCGACCCUUCCCCUUCACAUGUGCUCGAUCUCUCAAAUAAAUAAAUAAAAUCUUAAAAAAAAAAAAAAAA
rnacentral:lncRNA from 1 species